rnacentral:miRNA from 1 species
UGGGAUGUUGGUAUGGUUCAA